rnacentral:misc_RNA from 1 species
UCCAGCUUAUCACCGGCAGUUUUCUUAGAGUUCCCAGCUUAACCUGAUGGUAACUAAGAAUGAGGGUUGCGCUCGUUGCGGGACUUAACCCAACAUCUCACGACACGAGCUGACGACAACCAUGCAACACCUGUGCAGGAUCCAGCCUAACUGAAGGAAUCUGUUUCCAGAUUCCGCGAUCCGCAUGUCAAGAGCUGGUAAGGUUUUUCGCGUAGCUUCGAAUUAAACCGCAUACUCCACCGCUUGUGCGGGCCCCCGUCAAUUCCUUUGAGUUUUAAUCUUGCGACCGUACUCCCCAGGCGGAGUGCUUAAAGCGUUAGCUGUGACACCAACUAAUGCUGAUAUCUAGCACUCAUCGUUUACGGCGUGGACUAC